rnacentral:pre_miRNA from 1 species
CAAUUACUCCCUCCGUCCUUCCGUCUCAAAAUUUUUUGUCUUAAAUUUGUUUCGAUAUAAAUGUAUCUAGUCACUUUUUAGUAUUUUGAUACAUUCAUUUUUAAACAAACCUAAUAUAAAAUUUUAGGACGGAGGGAGUAUAAU